UUGAGAAUAACGCAACGAUUCCAUUGGGUGGAGACCAACUAACACGUCUUACAUUUGACUCGGCACGUCAUCGCAGGUCUGGUACUUGCACUCGAAAUGAUCGUCUGGAACAGUUCACACCAGUCAUAGAGGAAUUGUGUCAUGUCCAGCAGGAUUUACUUGAGAAGAUGUUCAAGACAUUCUACAAGACAAAAACUGCCAGUGAGGCUGGCUCCCUAGUCAACUACAGAGCUGUUUUCCACAGAACGAAUGUAAAUGAGCUUUGUGAAUGGAACUGACAUGUGAAUUACUUCGGUUAGAAAAACCUGAUACAGAAAAUGCUACCGACUGACCUUCAAGAAAUGACGGCAUCUAACAAAAGAAGAUGGUUUGAAAAAAAUCAGCCCAGUUGUUGUAAAGAUUGUGCGUACAUCCUCAGCACCACCGGCACCGGACACGAAUGUCUAAGUACGCCACAAGGGUACUUUGUAUCAUGUUGCCAUCGGUGACAUCAUGCAGAUCAAUGUGCCUGCACAGUAAGAAAAUGUCCAAGAAGAAAUGGAAGAUUAUGUCCAAAAGUUCAACACUAGCAUUGUUCGGGUAGCUAUUGACUUCAUUGUGUUCUGUGAAGUGAUAAAGGAAGGAGAUAUAAACAUGAUCAGUAUCUUAAUGAAGCGAUUCAUUCCACCCUUCAUUGGAUUAUCCUCCUAAAAAUCGAAAUAUGCAAUAGAGUGUGUAGAUUUAAUAACUAAAACAGAUUGUCUUUUGUCAGAAUAUGAUAGCGUGCGAGUUAAACUCGGCCUGCUUGUUAAUCGUACAGGCAAACCAGGAAAAACCCAGCCGAUAUGCAACAAGAAAACAACAUAAAGCUAGUUAAGCAUGUGAUUAGAGGACUUGUUGCUGGAAAGACAGCCGAAGAUAUGAUGAGAGUUUCAAAGGCUGCACUAGUUGUCAUUGAGCUUGAAAGCAGUGGGGCUGUUAUCAUUUGUUGUCCAAGUGUAUUACAGAACAUUAUACAAACAAAAUUUAUGGAAAUAAUACAGUAUUCUACAGACAACCUAUAGCAAAGAAAAUGCUGAUAUCUUUAUUUGCAAAUACAGUUCUUUAGGUCUGUCAUUUCAUGAAGUCUUGCUAUGCUGACAGUUUUACAAAAAUGAAAUACUGUCAAUCCAGGAUAUAUGGCAUUAAUAUAAUGUCUUUCAUCGUGUGACUAAAUUUAGCUGAAAUAUGAAGACCGUCAUUGCAUUCAAUUUUAGAGAUCUCAAGUAGUUUUUCACAAGUAACUGAUUCUAAUAUUUAA